AAUGAACAACGGACAUGACGGAGAGACCGGAAACCAGUCUAGUUCUACACCACCCUGAUUCCAAAAGUGGGACUGAGAACUAGUCUAACUGAACUGAAUCUGCUUGCCCUGAUGAAGCAAUUGAGGAGGGAAUACGAGGAGAAAGCGGCAUCAGAGGCGAGACAGAGGGAGGAGGCCGAAUGGCAGUCCAGAUUGCAGGACGAAUGGGUAGCAGACAUGGUGGGGAUGUGUGGCGACACCCCCUGGGAGGACACAGGAAAUUGAACGAAAUGUUUGGAUGUGUGGUCUAGGACACCAGUGAGGCAGAGCACCAGUGACAUAUCACUGGAUCCCACCCAAUAAAAGUAGAAUGAGAUUGAUGAUUGAUGGCCACCAUUUCAUAAGAAAAAGGGAAUUUUCAAGCUUCCAUAUUGGUCAAGGUCACACGACGAGGUUAUGUGGUUUCAGUGGAGCACUGGAACACCCCGUCCAUGAUUCACUCGACACAAGUCACUGUUAUCGGUCAGAUGGCCCUGUCCUGUAGUCAACCGAUAGGAAUUUUGAAAUGAUGCCUGAAGACAAAAAUAUUGAAAUUAUGGAUUGGAUUGAGGACGAUUAGAGUGUGCCAAUAGCAAAGCAGGAAGCAGCGUCGGUUGGUCCAUGUCAUCGAUACUCUGUUCUGAAAAGAUGGCAGCAUGAUGCCUCUAUUUGCUUCAUACAUCAGUCGGUCUGCCAUGUUCUAGAUAGGUGCAUUUUCAAGAUCACAGUGAUGUCUAGUGGGGCAAAGGAAGGACUCCACUCACUGCUCAAGUUACAGGAAGAAGAAAGCAAUUUUGGCAGAAACGUUUGACGAUAAUUUAUCCGAACUUAGAUUUGUUAGCGUUCUUUGAACACUUUAAUUUGCUCCAUCUUGGGGUCGUUUUUGAUUUCUGCCAGAUAUUUUAUUUCUUGGUGUGUUUAAGAAUGUGGCAUUUGCCCAAGGAAAUGUUUGCAACCACAGCGAUGAUUUAUCCUGGAUGGAUAUGGCCAGUGUGCGUAAUUUAAUAAAAAGAGGAAAAAGGAUCCGUUUGA